UACGUAGGGUGCAAGCGUUAUCCGGAUUUACUGGGUUUAAAGGGUGUGUAGGCGGGCUUUUAAGUCUGGGGUGAAAUCUCCGAGCUCAACUCGGAAACUGCCUUGGAUACUAUUAGUCUUGAAUUAUGUUGAGGUUGGCGGAAUAUAACAUGUAGCGGUGAAAUGCAUAGAUAUGUUAUAGAACACCGAUUGCGAAGGCAGCUAACUAAGCAUAUAUUGACGCUGAGGCACGAAAGCGUGGGGAUCAAACAGG
rnacentral:rRNA from 1 species